rnacentral:rRNA from 1 species
AGGACGAACGCUGGCGGCGUGCUUAACACAUGCAAGUCGUGGGCAUCUCGCAAGAGGUGACCGGCGAACGGGUGCGUAACACGUGAGCGACCUACCGAUGCGCGGGGGAUAGCCGGCCCAACGGCCGGGUAAUACCGCAUACGCCAACCGAGCCGCAUGGCUUGGUUGGGAAACCUCCGGGGCGGAUCGAGGGGCUCGCGGCCUAUCAGCUAGUUGGCGGGGUAACGGCCCACCAAGGCGACGACGGGUAGCUGGUCUGAGAGGAUGGCCAGCCACAUUGGGACUGAGAAACGGCCCAGACUCCUACGGGAGGCAGCAGUGGGGAAUAUUGCGCAAUGGCCGCAAGGCUGACGCAGCGACGCCGCGUGUGGGAUGACGCCCUUCGGGGUGUAAACCACUGUUGCCCGGGACGAACGAGGGAUUUAUCCCUGUGACGGUACCGGGUGAGGAGCACCGGCUAACUCCGCGCCAGCAGCCGC